GUAGGUGGCAAGCGUUAUCCGGAAUUAUUGGGCGUAAAGCGCGCGCAGGCGGUUUCUUAAGUCUGAUGUGAAAGCCCACGGCUCAACCGUGGAGGGUCAUUGGAAACUGGGGAACUUGAGUGCAGAAGAGAAAAGCGGAAUUCCACGUGUAGCGGUGAAAUGCGUAGAGAUGUGGAGGAACACCAGUGGCGAAGGCGGCUUUUUGGUCUGUAACUGACGCUGAGGCGCGAAAGCGUGGGGAGCAAACAGGGAUUGGAUACCCUGGUAGUCCACGCCGUAAACGAUGAGUGCUAAGUGUUAGAGGGUUUCCGCCCCUUUAGUGCUGCAGCUAACGCAUUAAGCACUCCGCCUGGGAGUACGGUCGCAAGACUG
rnacentral:rRNA from 1 species